AGCUAAUACCGGAUGUGCCCUUCGGGGGAAAGAUUUAUCGCCAUUGGAGCGGCCCGCGUCUGAUUAGCUAGUUGGUAGGGUAAAGGCCUACCAAGGCUACGAUCAGUAGCUGGUCUGAGAGGAUGAUCAGCCACACUGGGACUGAGACACGGCCCAGACUCCUACGGGAGGCAGCAGUUAGGAAUCUUGCGCAAUGGGCGAAAGCCUGACGCAGCCAUGCCGCGUGAAUGAUGAAGGUCUUAGGAUUGUAAAAUUCUUUCAGCGGGGACGAUAAUGACGGUACCCGCAGAAGAAGCUCCGGCUAACUUCGUGCCAGCAGCCGCGGUAAUACGAAGGGGGCUAGCGUUGCUCGGAAUUACUGGGCGUAAAGGGCGCGUAGGCGGACAGUUUAGUCAGAGGUGAAAGCCCAGGGCUCAACCUUGGAACUGCCUUUGAUACUGGCUGUCUUGAGUUCGGGAGAGGUGUGUGGAACUCCGAGUGUAGAGGUGAAAUUCGUAGAUAUUCGGAAGAACACCAGUGGCGAAGGCGACAC
rnacentral:rRNA from 1 species